rnacentral:tRNA from 1 species
CGCAGAAUGGUUAAGCAAAGGCAGGUUUCAUUCCAUGAAAUUGACAAUCAGGCUCAUAACCUGAAGGUCGUAGGUUCAAAUCCUACUCCCGCAACCA